ensembl:lncRNA
CAACUCUGCUCUGCUUUCCCUUCCCCUGGGCAUGGUGAGCCUUCCCCCGGGGCCAUGCUGGAACUGCUGCCAUUCCCUGCUGUCUCCUCUAUCCUUCCUAUAGUCUUCAGGCUCCUUAGCAAGAGCUGCAGUGGAUGAUACCAAGUGAGGCCCUAAGAGGUGGAGGACCAGAGGAUGGGAUUCCCCUUGUGUUGCUGUGGAAACCGUUGGAAGGGAAGCAGCAAAACCAGGGCUGGCAGGGAGUGCUGGGCGGUGUGCGGGGCGGCUGCAGAGGCAGGGCUGUGCUGACAUCACGUGGGGAGGCGGCGUGGGGAAGGGAGAGCAAGGGAGGCUGCAGAGGGAAGAGAGCUGCAUCCGACUGGGCUCCAGGCAAGCUACUGCCAGCAUCUUUUUGUUUUUUGAAACUACCUGGGAGAGAAUGGAAGCACAGAGAAACUGCUGAAGUCAUUUGACUCCUGUCAGUCUCAGCUGCUCUCUUGGUUCUGCUCCAAGAGCUCAUCCUCCCUGCUUGCUUCUCCAAGGAAGGUGAUGAGGACAGUCAAUGGGAUUCAUGUGGCCAAGCGCAUUGCUGAUAUAAAUCCCAGCCCACAGGCUCCAGGAGAACUUGGCUCAGCUGCUGCCAAGAGAAGAAAAGCUUCCUAUCAUACAGUAGGCCCAGCGCAGGGCAAGACCAGGGCUGCAAGACAAGGUACCCAUAGCAAGGCUCCAUGGCUGUGAAUAACACUUCCUUGCAAACACUCAAAGGCAUCAGCUCCCUGGAGCUGGAUUUCCACUGGCUCCAUCUCAGGUGGUGAAUGGCUGGAUAGUAGUUCUGGGCUCCAGUUUCCUCUGACUGAAGGAGACCACAGUUUGUUCUGCCACAGGGACAGCAGAAACACCCUUACUGUGUACUGUUAGCAUCUCUGCAUGCUUCCACUAUUUCCAAACCAAACAAGAUCACAAAGAGACCCAAGAGAAAUCCACUUCCCCUCUUCACUGGAACUCCUCUUUCUGCCUCCCCUAUGCCUUUGUUGCCAUCUCUUGCAUGCCAAAUGCAGGAACAAACACCGGCGUUUGGCAGGGCUCAAAGCCUUGGCUUCUCAGACGGGAAAGAGGCGUUCUUGGUCCAUAGCCCAGAGACAGAGUUCUGCUCCCUGUCCACUGCCAGGUUAUCCAGCUGCAGUUUUGGUGCUCAUCCCAUGCAGUGAGCGCUGCUCUUAAUGCUGGGACCAGGCAGCACCCCUGGGUGCUGGGCUGUGAAUCCAGGGGGAGCGGGUCAGAACAGCCAGGGCAGAAACCAGAGCUACGUGAGCCCUGGCACACUGCUGUGCUGCGGCCAAGCUGCAUGUCCCAGCAGGAAGCGCAGGAGUCAGAGCUGCCCUGAGAGGCUUUUCCCCAAAUACACAUGACUGCAGGGGGCAGGGAAAUGCAAAGGGAGGCUCUGUAAAGCCAGAAUGCCUCUGGUUUGUGAAAAUAGGGCUGUUAUUGCCAACAGUUUUCCCCAAGAGAUUGCAGAGCAUAGCUGGAGAGGGAUCCUGUAACUCACGGGCAGCUGGCAUGCUGCCUUCCCACCAGGUGCUCCAUCACUGCUUCAGGCCGUGACUUAGCAUUUCCCCUACGCUGCUACUGCUUCCCUCUCCCCUGCCCAUCUUGUUCUGCUCCAGGGCCACAGCACAGGAUGGUACACAGGACUGUUGUGAGAGCAGUUCCAGUCUGAGCCAGGCUAUAGGGCAGGGGCUUGGCAGCCAAGCAUCAGGCUGAGAAAAGAUCAC